rnacentral:rRNA from 1 species
CUACGGGUCGCUGCAGUGAGGAAUAUUGCACAAUGGGGGGAACCCUGAUGCAGCAACGCCGCGUGGAGGAUGACGCCUUUCGGUGUGUAAACUCCUUUUAUAUGUCAAGAAAAUGACGGUAGCAUAUGAAUAAGCACCGGCUAACUCCGUGCCAGCAGCCGCGGUAAUACGGAGGGUGCAGGCGUUACUCGGAAUCACUGGGCGUAAAGGACGCGUAGGCGGGUUGGAAAGUCAGGUGUGAAAUCCUACAGCUUAACUGUAGAACUGCACUUGAAACUUCUAAUCUAGAGUAUGGGAGGGGGAGAGGGAAUUAGUGGUGUAGGGGUAAAAUCCGUAGAUAUCACUAGGAAUACCUAAAGCGAAGGCGAUCUCCUGGAACAUUACUGACGCUAAGGCGUGAAAGCGUGGGGAGCAAACAGGAUUAGAUACCCGAGUAGUC